UAAUAACGUAUUCGUUUAUACGAAAUGUAUAGUAUUGGGCCAUUUCCGUUUAAUAUUUUAUUACAUUUUUAUGGUAUAUUGUAAAAAUGCUAUAAGAAUAAACAAAAGUUAGAAUAGUAAUAAAAACCGCUGUAAUUUUACUAUAUUUAUAGAUCCAUAGACCUGUCGAAGUACAUAAUGAUACUCCUUUUACUUGUGAUAAAUCAGUUUUUAAUAAUAUUCAAUGUUUAUGGAAAAGAAAAAUUGCCACGUUUCGUUGUUGAGGAGUUUGUUAAGCCAGCAAUAUUCGGAUCGUACAGCUACAAUCCACUUACGCAGACGUUCGAAAAAAAGGACGAUCCUUCCAGUAACGGAAACGUCAUUCAGAUACAAAUAUACAAUCGAACGAUCACUCAAUCGCAAGUUACGACAAAUCCACCUGCAAUACGAAAUAACGUAAAUAAUAUAUUUAGAAAACACGUUACCGCAGGAAGGUUAAAAUCUCCAAAACCAUUUCAUUUGAGACCUAUAUUAAGAUCUAUCAAACAAGAGAGUCAUAACUCAACGGGCACCAGUAAUUCCCAAUUGAGUACGGACCAUCAGUACUCUACCGUGUAGGAGAUUAAUUAAUACAGAACGAAUCCUUUUCUUCACGCAUUGCUAAAACACUUUUACUUACUUACCAGAAUUAUUUAAAGUCAUCGAUAUACGGCAUGUAAUUUAUUCGAGAGCAUCAAGGAAGCGCUUUAGAAAUAAUAGGCUUCUCAGACUACAUAUAAAGGCCGAUUUACAUUAUCUUAGUGUUUAGGAGAGUGCUUUAGGAUAGUACUUUAGUUGAAACAUGUAAACGCUACUUGCUUUAGUAAACGCUACGCUAAAGAACU